GUCACAGAUUGCUCAGUGUUCAGUUGUGUAAUUACUGAGAGAAACUGGAGGGUGGGGGGGAGAGAAAGAGAAACAGCGUGAGGCAGAGAAGGAGUGAGACAGAAACAGAGAUGAGAGAGAAUAGCAAGAUACUAAAACAGGAGCUAGAUUUGUGGCAGAAAUAAACUGUUUAAUUCUGUGGAAAUUUGUAGAGAAAACUGAAAGGAAGCUGUCGAAAAGAAAUGUGUUAAACAAGCCCUGGGCACAUACAUUUCAAAGAAACAGAGAACCAACAAAAGUGAGAUGCAUCAAUCUCAGCAAAAUGAAUGGAGAGAAUGUUUAAUCUUAUAAAGUGAACAGGAGGUGCUCCGCAAAACGAAGGAAUCUUUGGUGUCUCUCUUCCUCUGAUUACUGGAAGUAAGGGGAAAUAAAACCCAAUGCCACACAGCUGCUUUAUCUUUUUCAAGUUCACGAGGAAGAGCAGACUAUCCUAGUAAGCAGUGGGUGCGUAAAGCAGAGAAAAAAAAGUGUGGAUGGGAUGCCAGUUCAUUACAUGCAGUUCAAAAACACCUAUGAGCAAGCUGGAAGAUUAUCAGUUCACUUACCAAAAUGCCUUCAUGAUGUCACAGGAAAGUAGACACCAGUGGAGAAUCUCAUGCAGACUGAAGUAGGGAGAGCAGACUCUGCACAGGAGGCACCCAAAAUGGAGAUUUAAGCAACAUGAGGCACCAGUACUAACUGCUGUCCCACUGUACUCCCCAUGAGCUACGAUGUAAUGUAAAGGAAACAAGCCCAGCUCUCUAAUAAGGAUACUAUCUAGUUUGUUUUUAUGUAUUUGUUUUGUUACACAAUAUUAGAUUUAUAUAUUAAUUUACAAUGUGUGUAUUAAAGUUUUUGUUUUACUGUAGACAAGGAAGCAAUUUAAUUGUUUUUACAUCAAUUAUAAAUCUGCGAUGCUAUCAAGAUACAGAAAUAAACUUUGAUAUCACUCAUUAAAUCAAUUAUAUUUAGUUAGAUUGAAAAAUAUGUAUUCAGAGGCAUAGGAGUCAGCCAACUACCUGUUAAGACUCAAAGAAUAAAUUGCAACAAACCAAAUGCAGUUUAUAGCAACAAUGACUAGAUCAGCUCGUGAUGUAUCGUGACAUUUUCACCCAUAAAUGUAUUAAUAUUGACCCAAGAACUAAGUCCCUACAAAGUACUCACGGUUUUGCAAUCUACAUUUAGUCAGUGGGGUAUCUUAAAACUGUAGCUCCAACUUCUCAAGACAACAAACUAAUCAUCAGAGGAAGUAUGAACUCUUGGUCUUAUGGAUGCAUGAAAAUAAGAAAUCACUCUUUAGCUCAGCCCUUCGGCAAAUGAUGCCAUGAAGUCAGUUAAAUGAUAUUUGUAGACCUGGCUGCCAUUCUGCUUGAAAUUUAUUCUCCUUCAGGAAAUGCCCUACUCUUUUCUUAUGGUAUUUCUCAUCAGUUUAUUUAGUAGUGAGGUACUCCAUGUAUAAAUGCAAAAUCCAAAGUUGUUUCCUCGAGUGCAGUGACGGCGUAGUGGCCUUCCUCCUAUGACUUAGGCACAGUGCUAUGGGGUUUUCUGUCAGAUUUAAGCUUACCUACAUUUAUUGGGUUUCUUCAUAGAGAUUUAUGUCUGUUUAAGGAAAUGCACAUUAUUUGAUUAUUUUGCAAAGAUUCCUUAUCCCUAAAUAUAUGAAGUGUAGUAUUUGACAACAUUCUAUUCUGAAAAAAAAUGCUCUUCUUUUUAAAGGGCGAUGCUCUGACUGUUGAUGUCUAGAGGUGAAUAGCUAGUGUUGUGACCCUUAAGGAACCAUGUCCCUUCUCUGAGUUUCUUAUAGAUAUAUACCAGCUAGUUCAGGCAUUUUACUCAUCUAAAAAGAUAUUCACCCAUUAAAUAACUGGCCAUUUAAGACAAUACUGUUUUUACUGUGGUUAUAGUCUUGCCGGUUUUCUAACUAUCGCUUUCCCUGAUCUUCACAAAGAGAAAGAGAUGUCACUUCACCAACAUUUUAGUAAAGCCUUUUGACCAUUGAACUGUACAGUUUGGCCCUGUGAUAGGAUAGGGGCUGUUGUGAUGAAUCUCAGUUUUUACUGUUUAACAAGGAGUUGUAGGAAGGGAAAAUUAGAUCAGCAUAUGUGUAUAAACUUCCAGAUAUAGACCUCAAAAUGGUCAAAGGAAUUAAAAGAGGAAUUAAAAAGAGGCGCAGGCAGAACUGUUUAAAUGCAAACAUUGAUGGGCUUCUUGAAACAAGCUAAUUUAUGUAACUCAGCAUUAUACUUGCCUUUAUUCUAGAACUCUGUUCUAAGUCAAAGAAAAAUUGAUAAAACACACCACACACACACAAACAGUAACAGCUUAACUCUAACAGGAAGUGCUAAAGUUUGUCUUUGAUCAGUGAAGACUGAGAAUAUCAGAAUCCUAGCUGUGUCAUUCAUUAUACUGCCAAGGUAAUCAAAAAGUAUGCAUGUGUGCAUGUCCUUGCAUGCAUGUGUAUCUGUGUGUG